AUAUGCUAAUUGGUAUACGGUAAUUAGAAAACGAUAAAUUUUCACAAAAAUGUUUAAAACCGACGCAGUAUACAAAUUCUAGCUUAUUACAACGUACGGAGGCCAAAGUACUGUCUCCAUUUACAUGAUCAACUUGGGUCUAUCUUAAAAAUCUAGUAUUAAAAUAAGAACAACGGUAAUAAGAAAAGUUUUUAACCAAGGCUACGGUAAUUAUAUACUCACGUGCUUCAUUGGUGGUACACUAACAUGAGAGUCAUACAACUGCUGAUGGACCUCGGUACACACUGAGGAGACGUGAUGCGUACGGUAGUGAUGUGCCAAAUACUUUUAUUUAGGGAUGUGCACUCGAGAACAGCAGAUGUUACGGUAAUUAGAAGUUUCCAUUGGACAUACGAUUACUUCAUAAUAAUUAUUUGUAGACUGGUUCUAUUGAGUAGAUAUUUUGUUAUGCGAUACACGCUGCUUAAUAUCGUUUAAAACGUUGAAUGGAUCGAAGUAAAUCUAUACGCUAUAAAAAUUACAAGCAAGUUUUAAGAUUAAGUUGGUGUGCGGACACGUCACGCUAGGUACGGAUGCUAUCUAAAAUAUAUAAAAAAGUGCAUGAUUGAAUAUGGUGAUAUUACGGCUUAAACAAGCCCGGACACGAAAAAUUUGCUAAUCGGAGAAUGGCCG
rnacentral:misc_RNA from 1 species